rnacentral:tRNA from 1 species
AAGGUUUUAAGUUAAUUAAACUAAUAGCCUUCAAAGCUAUAAAUAAAAAUAAAAAUUUUUUUUAAGCCUUA